rnacentral:rRNA from 1 species
GGUUAAGCGACUAAGCGUACACGGUGGAUGCCCUGGCAGUCAGAGGCGAUGAAGGACGUGCUAAUCUGCGAAAAGCGUCGGUAAGGUGAUAUGAACCGUUACAGCCGGCGAUGUCCGAAUGGGGAAACCCAGUGCAAUUCGUUGCACUAUCGUUAACUGAAUACAUAGGUUAACGAGGCGAACCGGGGGAACUGAAACAUCUAAGUACCCCGAGGAAAAGAAAUCAACCGAGAUUCCCCCAGUAGCGGCGAGCGAACGGGGAGCAGCCCAGAGUCUGAAUCAGCUUGUGUGUUAGUGGAACGGUCUGGAAAGUCCGACGGUACAGGGUGAUAGUCCCGUACACCAAAAUGCACAGGUUGUGAACUCGAAGAGUAGGGCGGGACACGUGGUAUCCUGUCUGAAUAUGGGGGGACCAUCCUCCAAGGCUAAAUACUCCUGACUGACCGAUAGUGAACCAGUACCGUGAGGGAAAGGCGAAAAGAACCCCGGCGAGGGGAGUGAAAAAGAACCUGAAACCGUGUACGUACAAGCAGUGGGAGCACCUUCGGGUGUGACUGCGUACCUUUUGUAUAAUGGGUCAGCGACUUAUAUUCUGUAGCAAGGUUAACCGUAUAGGGGAGCCGCAGGGAAACCGAGUCUUAACUGGGCGUUAAGUUGCAGGGUAUAGACCCGAAACCCGGUGAUCUAGCCAUGGGCAGGUUGAAGGUUGGGUAACACUAACUGGAGGACCGAACCGACUAAUGUUGAAAAAUUAGCGGAUGACUUGUGGCUGGGGGUGAAAGGCCAAUCAAACCGGGAGAUAGCUGGUUCUCCCCGAAAGCUAUUUAGGUAGCGCCUCGUGAACUCAUCUUCGGGGGUAGAGCACUGUUUCGGCUAGGGGGUCAUCCCGACUUACCAACCCGAUGCAAACUACGAAUACCGAAGAAUGUUAUCACGGGAGACACACGGCGGGUGCUAACGUCCGUCGUGAAGAGGGAAACAACCCAGACCGCCAGCUAAGGUCCCAAAGUCAUGGUUAAGUGGGAAACGAUGUGGGAAGGCACAGACAGCCAGGAUGUUGGCUUAGAAGCAGCCAUCAUUUAAAGAAAGCGUAAUAGCUCACUGGUCGAGUCGGCCUGCGCGGAAGAUGUAACGGGGCUAAACCAUGCACCGAAGCUGCGGCAGCGACACUAUGUGUUGUUGGGUAGGGGAGCGUUCUGUAAGCCUGCGAAGGUGUGCUGUGAGGCAUGCUGGAGGUAUCAGAAGUGCGAAUGCUGACAUAAGUAACGAUAAAGCGGGUGAAAAGCCCGCUCGCCGGAAGACCAAGGGUUCCUGUCCAACGUUAAUCGGGGCAGGGUGAGUCGACCCCUAAGGCGAGGCCGAAAGGCGUAGUCGAUGGGAAACAGGUUAAUAUUCCUGUACUUGGUGUUACUGCGAAGGGGGGACGGAGAAGGCUAUGUUAGCCGGGCGACGGUUGUCCCGGUUUAAGCAUGUAGGCUGAUUGUCCAGGCAAAUCCGGAUAAUCAAGGCUGAGGUGUGAUGACGAGGCACUACGGUGCUGAAGUAACAAAUGCCCUGCUUCCAGGAAAAGCCUCUAAGCAUCAGGUAACAUCAAAUCGUACCCCAAACCGACACAGGUGGUCAGGUAGAGAAUACCAAGGCGCUUGAGAGAACUCGGGUGAAGGAACUAGGCAAAAUGGUGCCGUAACUUCGGGAGAAGGCACGCUGGUGUGUAGGUGAAGCCCCUGCGGGUGGAGCUGAGACCAGUCGAAGAUACCAGCUGGCUGCAACUGUUUAUUAAAAACACAGCACUGUGCAAACACGAAAGUGGACGUAUACGGUGUGACGCCUGCCCGGUGCCGGAAGGUUAAUUGAUGGGGUUAUCCGUAAGGAGAAGCUCUUGAUCGAAGCCCCGGUAAACGGCGGCCGUAACUAUAACGGUCCUAAGGUAGCGAAAUUCCUUGUCGGGUAAGUUCCGACCUGCACGAAUGGCGUAAUGAUGGCCAGGCUGUCUCCACCCGAGACUCAGUGAAAUUGAACUCGCUGUGAAGAUGCAGUGUACCCGCGGCAAGACGGAAAGACCCCGUGAACCUUUACUAUAGCUUGACACUGAACAUUGAGCCUUGAUGUGUAGGAUAGGUGGGAGGCUUUGAAGCGUGGACGCCAGUCUGCGUGGAGCCAACCUUGAAAUACCACCCUUUAAUGUUUGAUGUUCUAACGUUGGCCCCUGACCGGGGUUGCGGACAGUGUCUGGUGGGUAGUUUGACUGGGGCGGUCUCCUCCCAAAGCGUAACGGAGGAGCACGAAGGUUAGCUAAUCCUGGUCGGACAUCAGGAGGUUAGUGCAAUGGCAUAAGCUAGCUUGACUGCGAGCGUGACGGCGCGAGCAGGUGCGAAAGCAGGUCAUAGUGAUCCGGUGGUUCUGAAUGGAAGGGCCAUCGCUCAACGGAUAAAAGGUACUCCGGGGAUAACAGGCUGAUACCGCCCAAGAGUUCAUAUCGACGGCGGUGUUUGGCACCUCGAUGUCGGCUCAUCACAUCCUGGGGCUGAAGUAGGUCCCAAGGGUAUGGCUGUUCGCCAUUUAAAGUGGUACGCGAGCUGGGUUUAGAACGUCGUGAGACAGUUCGGUCCCUAUCUGCCGUGGGCGCUGGAGAAUUGAGGGGGGCUGCUCCUAGUACGAGAGGACCGGAGUGGACGCAUCACUGGUGUUCGGGUUGUCAUGCCAAUGGCACUGCCCGGUAGCUAAAUGCGGAAGAGAUAAGUGCUGAAAGCAUCUAAGCACGAAACUUGCCCCGAGAUGAGUUCUCCCUGAGACUAUAAGUCUCCUGAAGGAACGUUAAAGACGAUGACGUUGAUAGGCCGGGUGUGUAAGCGCAGCGAUGCGUUGAGCUAACCGGUACUAAUGAACCGUGAGGCUUAACCUU